rnacentral:rRNA from 1 species
UACAGAGGGUGCGAGCGUUGUUCGGAAUUACUGGGCGUAAAGCGCGCGCAGGCGGAUCCUGCAAGUCCGGAGUGAAAUCUCACCGCUCAACGGUGAGGCUGCUUUGGAUACUGCGGAUCUGGAGACCGGUAGAGGCUGGUAGAAUUGCAGGUGUAGCGGUGGAAUGCGCAGAUAUCAGGAGGAACACCAAUGGCGAAGGCAGCACUCUGGGACGUAACUGACGCUGAGGAGCGAAAGCAUGGGGAGCGAACAGG